rnacentral:tRNA from 1 species
UCUAGUAUGGCAGAUUAGUGCAAUGAAAUUAAAAUUCAUAUAUAAAAUUUUUUUUUUAUUAAAA